GACGAACGCUGGCGGCGUGCUUAACACAUGCAAGUCGAACGGAAAGGCCCCCAUCUUGGUGGGGUUGCUCGAGUGGCGAACGGGUGAGUAACACGUGGGUGAUCUGCCCUUUACUUCGGGAUAAGCUUGGGAAACUGGGUCUAAUACCGGAUAGGACCAUGGUUUAGUUUCUUAUGGUGGAAAGAUUAUUGUUUUGGUGCAGGAUGAGCUCGCGGCCUAUCAGCUUGUUGGUGGGGUAAUGGCCUACCAAGGCGUCGACAGGUAGCCGGCCUGAGAGGGUGGCCGGACAGAAUGGGAGUGAGAUACGACACAGCCUCCGACGGGAGGCAGCAGUGGGGAAUAUUGAACAAUGGGAGCAAGCCUGAUGCAGCGACGCCGAGUGGGGGAUGACGGCCUUCGGGUUGUAACCUCCUUUCGUUAGGGACGAAGCCGCACUUUUUUUGGGUGUGGUGAAGGUAACUUUGUUAAGAAGCCACGGCUAACUACGUG
rnacentral:rRNA from 1 species